CGUAAAAGUUAACGACGAUACUUGUAACUUAACAGGAAAACUGUCAUUUAUUGGUAAUCCUUCUGUUUACUUCACCACCUGCAGCCUCUUUCUGCAAAACUAGUGCUGUUCAGCAAAAUAAAUAUUUCUUGUCUUGAAAUGUAAAUGACAUAUGAAUGCAACGGCGUAGGUUUGGUCUUAAUAUUGGUAGGGACGAUAUCAAGGGCGUAGGUUUGGUCUCAACAUUGGUAGGGACGCUAUAACAGAAUAACCUGCAUGUACACUUUUUGCUGGGGACGAUUAAAAAGUUUUAAUAAAAUUAUUUUCCUGGGAGAAAGUCAUUUUUCAAAAUGCUUGCUUCAUAUAAAGCAAAUUUAUAGUGGUUGUGUUUUUUUUGGUGGGGCGGGUUAAAAAAAUGUUAAAUAUCAACUGCAAAUAAAAAUAUUCUUUUAAGGAUUGAUAGAAAAUACAUACAUUUUAGUUAAGGAAUUAAUGCACAAAAUGCACAGCUGGAUUAACUUUAACAGUAGAAAAAGUACAGGAAGACACGUCUCUAAGCAGCUUUCUACUCGAGUUUUACAGGUUAGCAAGUUCACACAGUUUAAUAUAAUGCUAACGCUGAUGCAGUUCGGACUUUCAGUUGCAAAAUUAGUGGUGUGUUCCCCACCUUCACAACAUUGACAUCUUUUUACUAGGGCUGUCAAACGAUUAAAAUUUUUAAUCGAGUUAAUUACAGCUUAAAAAUUAAUUAAUCGUAAUUAAUCGCAGUUAAUCACAAUUCAAACCAUCUAUGAAAUAUGCCAUAUUUUUCUGUAAAUUGUUGUUGGAAUGGAAAGAUAAGACACAAGAUGGAUAUAUACAUUCAACAUACGGUACAUAAGGACUGUAUUUGUUUAUUAUAACAAUAAAUCAACAAGAUGGCAUUAACAUUACUAACAUUCUGUUAAAGCGAUCCAUGGAUAGAAAGACUUGUAGUUCUUAAAAGAAAAAUGUUAGUACAAUUUAUAGAAAUUUUAUAUUAAAACCCCUCUUAAUGUUUUCGUUUUAAUGAAAUUUGUAAAAUUUUCAAUCAAAAAAUAAACUAAUAGCCCGCCAUUGUUGAUGUCAAUAAUUACUUACACAAUGCUCAUGGGUGCUGAAGCCUAUAAAAUCAGUCGCACCCAAGCGCCAGCAGAGGGCGGCAAAACUCCAUAAAACACAAUUAACAAGUGAGCGUUUCACUGUACAGUCAUUUAAAUCUGUCUGAGCGGGGCAUCUGCGUUAAUUGCGUCAAAUAUUUUAACGUGAUUAAUUUAAAAAAUUAAUUAACGCCCGUUAACGCGAUAAUUUUGACAGCCCUACUUUUUACAUUACAUAAAGUGGCUGCUGCUGGCCGAAAAAACCUUCUAAUAUCCCUCCUCUUCAAAGGGGGCGGAGGAGGCGGUAUGUCGACAUGUAUUUUUGUCGGGAUUGUGUGAAUGUGGGGUUUCUAGUCAUCAGCCAAUCAAACGUGCGUUUGAAGGAGAAAAAAAUGGACCAGCACGUUCAGCAAAUGAAAAGGGGUAAACGUAAAUCCGAACAUAAUGUAGGGUCAAUUCUAUCCUUACAACUUAUGGGAAGACAAUUUAAAUUACCUAUAUAACUGAACUCAUUAUAUAAUGCAAAUAAGUUUGCUUAAAAGUUGGUGGGGACCUGCUAUAUUCUCAUCCUACAGCCUCUAUCCGAACCAACUCCCAGUUGUCUAAUCCAUUCAGACUGCAGCGUGGUACCCGCCAGGGGUGUCCUCUCAGCCCCAUGCUAUUUGACCUGGUUAUUGAACCUCUCGCCAUCGCCAUCCGUAGCCGCGAUGACAUCACGGGUAUAUGGAGAGGCGGCAUUGAACAUAAGGUCUCGAUGUAUGCAGACGACCUUAUGCUCCUUGUCUCAAACCCGAUCACUUCUCUCCAUUCGGCUCUAUCACUACUUAAUAACUUCAGUCAACUAUCUGGGUAUAAAAUAAACUUAGAAAAAAGUGAACUGUUUCCAAUUGGCAAUAUUAUAUCUGCUUCAGGCUUUACUAAUUUUCUAUUUAAAAUUGAAACUCUCAAAGUUUCCUACUUAGGCAUCACGAUGACCCGGAAGCACAAAGACCUUUUUAAAGAGAACUUUUUAAAUUUGGUAACUCAAAUCAAACAAACACUUACACAAUGGUCACCACUCUCUAUGUCCCUCAUUGGGCGAAUAAAUUCCAUUAAAAUGACCAUUUUACCAAAAUUCUUGUACUUAUUUCAGGCAUUACCAAUUUUUAUUCCCAAAACCUUUUUCGAUCAUCUGGAUUCGAUUAUCUCUUCUUAUAUUUGGAAAGGAAAAAGGGCUCGUCUUAAUAAAACUCACCUACAAAAGACGAGGGCUGCCGGUGGUCUUGCUUUGCCUAAUUUCCGUUUUUAUUAUUGGGCGGCCAACCUGCGGGGUCUCACAUUCUGGUCUCACUUUCAUAAUCGCCCAGAUCCUCCUGACUGGGUGGCAAUGGAGAUGAGAUCAGCGGACGAUGUAUCCCUGGCUGCAUUGAUUGGCUCCUCUCUUCCACUCUCAACCAGAUCUUUAAAGAAUCCAGUAGUCAAACACUCAGUGAGGAUCUGGUCUCAGUUCCGAAAGUUUUUCGCUUUACGUGACUUCUCACCAUCAAGCCCAAUAUUACAUAAUCAUUUUUUCAAACCUUCACUCAAUGACCCCGCCUUCAAAGAGUGGAGUCAGAGGGGAAUAGAACACUUCAAAGAUUUAUUUAUUGGUAAUAAUUGGGCAACAUUUCAACAAUUACGCAACAAAUUUGCACUUCCACAGUCAAAUUUUUUCCGUUAUCUACAAAUUCGACAUUUUAUACUUUCUAACUUACCCACCACGCUAAGCUCUGACAAGACUAUUGUUGACAUAGUUCUUUCCUCAAAUCCAAACCAGAGGAGGCAUGUCUCUGUGUUUUGUAGCAUGAUGUUGGCCCUGAAGACUGCAUCUAUGGAUAGAGUCAGGGCGGAAUGGGAGGAAGACCUUGGUACCCCCUUUUCUGAGGAAACAUGGUUAUCCAUCUUAAAACGAGUCAACUCCUCAUCUCUGUGUGCUCGUCAUAAUUUAAUCCAAUUCAAAGUGGUACACAGAGCUCACAUCUCCAAAAGCAAACUGGCCACUUUUUAUCCUGACAUUAGCCCACUUUGUACCAAAUGCAAUACCUCAGACGGCUCACUCUUUCAUAUGUUUUGGACUUGUCCUAAACUUGGCAAAUUCUGGACAGAGGUUUUUCAUUCCCUCUCACAGAUUUUGACAGUGAGGGUGGAACCGAACCCCCUUAUUGGCUUAUUCGGAGUUACAGAGGACUCAAGACUAUCCUCUGAACAGCGCCGCACUCUAGCGUUUGCUUCCCUCCUGGCUCGUAGGUCGGUCCUCCUAAGUUCCUACCCCGCCGCGGUUUGAAGACUUUAUUGAGACAAUCAACUCUAAUUUGCCCAUCUUCAUGAAAAUUCGAAAAGGAAUGUGUGAAGACAGUGGUCUGCAACACUAUGCUUUGGUGAACAUGGUUGAAACGGAGGUCACCA